CCCAACAGUUUUGUCGUCUAAAUGUGCUUUUAAGUCUAAAUGAACACAUUGUUUGAACUCUUCUAAUAACAUCAAUUGUCUUAGGUUAUCAAAAUUGUUGUCUGUUUUCUUUGAAGUAAGCCAUUUGUCAAAUAGAUCUUCUUUUUCCCGAGCAAAUUCCACAUAGGUUUGUGAAUCAAACUUUUUAUAAGAUCUAAAUUUCUGUCUAUAUGCUUCUGGUACUAGCUCAUAAGCUUUCAAAAUUUCCUGUUUCACGGUGUCAUAAUCGGAACUUUUUUCUGAUGGAAGUGCAGAGUAUAUUUCAGCGGCCUUUCCUUCAAAAACACUUUGUAGCAUUGUAGUCCAAUAUGGCUUUGGCCAUUUCAAAUUAUUAGCAAUUUUCUCAAACUGUGGAAAAUAUUUAUCGACUGUUUUUUCACAAAAUUUUGGAACCAAACGUAUAUUUUUUGCUGCAUCAAAAUAAUCUGAUUUCGACUGGACUUUAGUGUUGCUUUCUUCUUUGACCAUUUCAAUUUUCAGUUUUUCC
rnacentral:lncRNA from 1 species